ensembl:lncRNA
GUUGUAGAGACAGGAGGUUUUAGAGACAGGUGGUUGUAGAGACAAGAGUUGUAGAGACAGGUGGUUGUAGAGACAGGUGGUUGUAGAGACAAGAGUUGUAGAGACAGGUGGUUGUAGAGACAGGAGGUUAUGGGUAUAUGUACUUUUUUUUUUAAAUUUUUUUUUUUAACCUUUAUUUAACUAGGCACGUCAGUUAAGAACAAAUUCUUAUUUUCAAUGACGGCCUAGGAACAGUGGGUUAACUGCCUGUUCAGGGGCAGAACGACAGAUCUGUACCUUGUCAACUCGGGGGUUUGAACUUGCAACCUUCUGGUUACUAGUCCAACGCUCUAACCACUAGGCUACGCUGCCGCCCCGUGUCCUGGCCCCGUGUCCUACAUGUGCGUGUCCUGGCACAACCAACUGUCUGAGCUGGUACUCUAGUCUACACAACCAACUGUCUGAGCUGGUACUCUAGUCUACACAACCAACUGUCUGAGCUGGUACUCUAGUCUACACAACCAACUGUCUGAGCUGGUAAUCUAGUCUACACAACCAACUGUCUG